rnacentral:lncRNA from 1 species
UUUUUGCGAUGCUCUUAGGGACUCCUCUCACUCUGGACCAGCAAGAAAACAGGAUUUUGGAAGUCAAUAUGGCAAUGCCAAACAGGGAACUCCAGGUGUGUUGAACAUUCUUCUGCUGAAUUGUAUAAAAAAAAUUCUAACAUUUGGGCAACUUUUAGUACCUAGCCUUUUUUUACCCCUUACUUUUGGUUUAAAUGUAGAUUACAAGACUCAAGAUUAGCUAGCUAUUGUGGUGACUGACUGAAGGAGAAAAAUGAAUUGGUACAGAAGGUUAGCGCCUAUUGGAGGUCUGGGAAAUUUGGAUUAGAAAACAAAGUACUGUACUCAGAUCUUACCAGAGUACUGUACUCAGGUCUCAGUACUAGCUUAAUUUUAUGGAUAAUUUGGUUUAUUUUGUGGAUGUAAUCAAAUUCACAAUUCAAUAUAGUGGUAAUUUAUAUUGAAAAGUGAAUUUGAGAUGUAUAUAUGGAUAAUUUGGUAUAUAUUUUGUGGAUGUAGUAAUUUGAAACUGUAAACAGUAAACGAAUGGUAUUAUUGGGAUGUAUUUUGAAUGGUUGAUACAUUUUGG